rnacentral:rRNA from 1 species
CACGUAGGCGGCCAUUCAAGUCAGAGGUGAAAGCCCGGGGCUCAACCCCGGAACUGCCUUUGAAACUAGAUGGCUUGAAUCUUGGAGAGGCGAGUGGAAUUCCGAGUGUAGAGGUGAAAUUCGUAGAUAUUCGGAAGAACACCAGUGGCGAAGGCGACUCGCUGGACAAGUAUUGACGCUGAGGUGCGAAAGCGUGGGGAGCAAACA